rnacentral:sRNA from 1 species
GCUGGGUAUGGUGGAGCACACCUGUAAUCCCAGCAGUUUGGGAGGCUGAGGCAGGAGGAUCACAAGUUUAAAGCCAGUCUCAGCAACUUAAUGAGACCCCAUCUCAA